UGGCGCUUGAUUUCAACGCUGA
rnacentral:miRNA from 1 species